UGAAUACGAGAUGCUACGGCGUCGAAGCAGUCUAUGUCAUACUUCCAAGAAAAGCUUGCACUGUCAUAAACAAAUAAUGCCUGUACCAUAACCGACACAGGUGGGUAGGUAGAGUAUACUAAGGGGCGCGAGAUAACUCUCUCUAAGGAACUCGGCAAAAUGACUCCGUAACUUUGGGAGAAGGAGUGCCUUAUUUAUAAGGUUGCAAUAACAAGAUCCAAGCAACUGUUUACCAAAAACACAGGUCUCCGCUAAGUCGUAAGACGAUGUAUGGGGGCUGACGCCUGCCCAGUGCCAGAAGGUUAAAGAAGUUGGUUAGCAUCCGCGAAGCUGAUAACUGAAGCCCUGGUGAACGGCGGCCGUAACAAUAACGGUCCUAAGGUAGCGAAAUUCCUUGUCGGGUAAGUUCCGACCCGCACGAAAGGCGUAAUGAUUUGGAUACUGUCUCGGAGAGGGGCUCGGUGAAAUAGACUUGUCUGUGAAGAUGCGGACUACCUGCACCAGGACAGAAGGACCCUAUGAAGCUUUACUGUAACCUGAAAUUGAAAUUGGACUUUACCUGCGCAGUAUAGGUGGGAGGCGUUGAGAAUAUUCUUGCGGGAUUAUUGGAGCCAUCAGUGAGAUACCACUCUUGUAAUGUUAGAUUUCUAACUUUGUAUCAUUAUCUGGUCAAAGAACAGUUUCAGGCGGGCAGUUUGACUGGGGCGGUCGCCUCCUAAACGGUAACGGAGGCGCACAAAGGUUUCCUCUGAACGGGUAGAAAUCGUAUCUAGAGUGUAAAGGCAUAAGGAAGCUUGACUGUGAGACCUACAAGUCGAGCAGGGACGAAAGUCGGUCUUAGUGAUCUGACGGUGCUGAGUGGAAAGGCCGUCACUCAACGGAUAAAAGUUACUCUAGGAUAACAGGCUGAUCUCCCCCAAGAGUUCACAUCGACGGGGAGGUUUGGCACCUCGAUGUCGGCUCAUCGCAUCCUGGGGCGGUAGUACGUCCCAAGGGUUGGGCUGUUCGCCCAUGAAAGCGGUACGCGAGCUGGGUUCAGAACGUCGUGAGACAGUUCGGUCCAUAUCCGGUGUAGGCGUUAGAAUAUUGAGAGGAGCCUUCUUUAGUACGAGAGGACCGAGAAGGACAUACCUCUGGUGUACCAGUUAUCGUGCCAACGGUAAACGCUGGGUAGCUAUGUGUGGAGUGGAUAACCGCUGAAAGCAUCUAAGUGGGAAGCCCACCUCAAGAUAAG
rnacentral:rRNA from 1 species